CCGACUCAAAUCAUCCCGUGCUCCACCUGAUUCAACUCUAUUUACUCCACCCACGAGGCCUGCGAAUUUACCCUCGCACUCCCCUCGCAUCAUGGAGUUGAUACUUAGAUUUCGAACCAUGAGCUUUGAUACCAUUUUGUAGCGAAAUUGUACGAUCCAUCCCACAUCAAUUCAUCACCAAUGCAGCGCACACCUGUGUAGACUGGCCCAAUAAGCAUGUUAGACCAGCUCCUUACCUAAAAGGUUAAUCUAUUAGGUUGAGGCUCUACCAUACUUAUUAACCCAUCUACACUUUUGAAUUUAUCCAAUGUGAGAUUCAUGUGAAAUAUCCAAUAGUUAUGUGGCUAGCCUAUAGGAUAUUUCGGUAAUUGUUUUUAGUUCUCGAGUCUUUUAGUCAAUAUUGAGGAGGCUUGUUAAAUACGCAGGAAGUCUGUAUAAUGGAGGCAUCAGAAAUCAAUUUCAUUCUUCUGCAAUUCUACUUUCUAUCUCUAAGUCUUCUUCUAUUAUAAGACUCUGUUACUUAACACUGUUUAACUCAUUGGACGUGAAUUCAUAACUUUAGAAAACCUAAAUACAGAAGGAAAAAAAAAAGGGGUUGUAAUGGAAACUGUUCAAAUUAUAAGUUUCUUUUCAGUGAAGAUGUGUAAGAUUACCUGAUACCAGAGAGAGCUGGUUUGACGGGGAAGAACCCUAGAACGAAGAAUAGGAGACCAAUGAUCUGAAUUACGACGGCUACUAUUGUGAACAGCGUUAAUCUGGUACAUGUUAGUGAAGACAUUGGUUUGGCGCGCCGCCUCCUCUUCUGGCUAUGCAAAUGAGAGCGUGAUACAGCCCCGGAGUCUUUGAGCUCAGGGAAAGGAGGAG
rnacentral:lncRNA from 1 species